rnacentral:tRNA from 1 species
UCCCUGGUGAUCCAGUGGCUAAGACUCCACACUUUCAAUGCAAGGAACCCAGGUUCGAUCCCUGGUCAGGGAA